AGCGAACGCUGGCGGCAGGCUUAACACAUGCAAGUCGAGCGGGCGUAGCAAUACGUCAGCGGCAGACGGGUGAGUAACGCGUGGGAACAUACCUUUUGGUUCGGAACAACACAGGGAAACUUGUGCUAAUACCGGAUAAGCCCUUACGGGGAAAGAUUAUCGCCGAAAGAUUGGCCCGCGUCUGAUUAGCUAGUUGGUGAGGUAAUGGCUCACCAAGGCGACGAUCAGUAGCUGGUCUGAGAGGAUGAUCAGCCACAUUGGGACUGAGACACGGCCCAAACUCCUACGGGAGGGCAGCAGUGGGGGAAUAUUGGACAAUGGGCGGCAAGCCUGAUCCAGCCAUGCCGCGUGAGU
rnacentral:rRNA from 1 species